rnacentral:misc_RNA from 1 species
GAUGAAGAACGCAGCAAAAUGCGAUAAGUAAUGUGAAUUGCAGAAUUCAGUGAAUCAUCGAAUCUUUGAACGCACAUUGCGCCCGCUGGUAUUCCGGCGGGCAUGCCUGUUCGAGCGUCAUUUCAACCCUCAAGCCCCCGGGUUUGGUGUUGGGGAUCGGCUCUGCCCUUCUGGGCGGUGCCGCCCCCGAAAUACAUUGGCGGUCUCGCUGCAGCCUCCAUUGCGUAGUAGCUAACACCUCGCAACUGGAACGCGGCGCGGCCAUGCCGUAAAACCCCAACUUCUGAAUGUUGACCUCAGAUCAGGUAGGAAUACCCGCUGAACUUAAGCAUAUCAAUAAGCGGAGGA